rnacentral:rRNA from 1 species
GUAGGUGGCAAGCGUUGUCCGGAAUUAUUGGGCGUAAAGCGCGCGCAGCGGUUCUUUAAGUCUGAUGUGAAAGCCCACGGCUCAACCGUGGAGGGUCAUUGGAAACUGGAGAACUUGAGUACAGAAGAGGAAAGCGGAAUUCCACGUGUAGCGGUGAAAUGCGUAGAGAUGUGGAGGAACACCAGUGGCGAAGGCGGCUUUCUGGUCUGUAACUGACGCUGAGGCGCGAAAGCGUGGGGAGCAAACAGGAUUAGAUACCCUGGUAGUCCACGCCGUAAACGAUGAGUGCUAAGUGUUAGGGGGUUUCCGCCCCUUAGUGCUGCAGCUAACGCAUUAAGCACUCCGCCUGGGGAGUACGGCCGCAAAGGCUG